CAAGCAAGCCAGGUGAUCGCGGCUGGACAGACGAAAGGGUUCAGACGAGGAAAGUCCGGGCUUCACAGGGCAGGAUGCCGGAUAACGUCCGGUGGAGGUGACUCCCAGACCAGUGCAACAGAAAUAAACCGCCAUGGCUUCCAUGGUAAGGGUGGAAAGGCAGUGUAAGAGACUACCGCCGUCCUGGUAACAGGCCGGGCACAUGUAAACUCCAUUCGAAGCAAGACCGAGAAGAAAGCGAUACGGCUGCCCGUCGUGCUUUCAGGUGGGUCGCUUGAGCCUUCUGGCAACGGAAGGCCUAGACAGAUGAUCACUCAACGACAUAACCCGGCUUAUCGGUUUGCUUGUGCA
rnacentral:RNase_P_RNA from 3 species